AACAACCCAGAGUCACAGAUCCAUAGUCUGGGAAAGUAAAACUUAGGAGCUUUGUAAUGCUGUUUUGACACAGGUCUUUUACAAAUUGGAAUUCUACUCAUUCAGGGAUUACCAACAUUGUGCUACCCACCGUAUUAAUAAACAAAAAGGAAACUUCCUCUGUAUUAGAAUCUCUACGUGGUGGCUUCAGACAAAACUUCACCAGAUUUAGAGAGAAAACACCUGUCUCUACACCUCCAUUCCCAGGGCGAGCUUACUCUCUGGCAGCAAGCUCCCCGUGGAUACUCGUGACGCGUCCCCAAUUCCCACUCUCACUGGGUGUCGGAUGUCUAGAGAAGCCAAUCAGCGUCGCCGCGGUCUCAGUUCUAAAGUCCCCUCGCGCCCAUCCGGACUCAGAGUCUCCUCAGAUGCCGAGAUGCGGGUCAUGGCGCCCCGAACUCUCCUCCUGCUGCUCUCGGGGGCCCUGGCCCUGACCGAGACCUGGGCCGGCUCGCACUCCAUGAGGUAUUUCACCACCGCCGUGUCCCAGCCCGGCCGCGGGGAGCCCCGCUUCAUCUCCGUGGGCUACGUGGACGACACGCAGUUCGUGCGGUUCGACAGCGACGCCGCGAGUCAGAGGAUGGAGCCGUGAGCGCCGUGGGUGGAGCAGGAGGGGCCGGAGUAUUGGGAAGAGCAGACACGGAGAGCCAAGGGCCACGCACAGACUGACCUAGCGGGCCUGGGGAAUCUGCGCGGCUACUACAACCAGAGCGAGGCGGGGUCUCACACCCUCCAGAGGAUGUCUGGCUGCGACCUGGGACCCGACGGGCGCCUCCUCCGCGGGUAUUACCAGCGCGCCUACGACGGCAAGGAUUACAUCGCCCUGAACGAGGACCUGCGCUCCUGGACCGCCGCGGAUAUGGCGGCUCAGAACACCCAGCGCAAGUGGGAGGCGGCCCGUUAUGCGGAGCAGCUGAGAGCCUACCUGGAGGGCGAGUGCGUGGAGUGGCUCCGCAGAUACCUGCAGAACGGGAAGGAGACGCUGCAGCACGCGGACCCCCCAAAGACACACGUGACCCACUACCCUGUCUCUGACCAUGAGACCAUCCUGAGGUGCUGGGCCCUGGGCUUCUACCCUGCGGAGAUCACACUGACCUGGCAGCGGGAUGGGGAGGACCAAACUCAGGACACUGAGCUUGUGGAGACCAGGCCAGGAGGAGAUGGAACCUUCCAGAAGUGGGGAGCUGUGGUGGUGCCUUCUGGAGAAGAGCAGAGAUACACGUGCCAUGUGCAGCAUGAGGGGUUGCUGGAGCCCCUCACCCUGAGAUGGGAGCCAUCUUCCCAGUCCACCAUUUCUAUCAUGGGCAUUGUUGCUGGCCUGGCUGUCCUAGCAGUUGUGGUCACCGGAGCUAUGGUCGCUGCUGUGAUGCGGAGGAGGAAGAGCUCAGGUGGAAAAGGAGGGAGCUACUCUCAGGCUGCGUCCAGCGACAGUGCCCAGGGCUCUGAUGUGUCUCUCACGGCUUAAAAAGCCUGAGACAACUGUCUUGUGUGGAACUGAGAAGCAGGAUUUCUUCACGCCUCCCUUUUGAAGACAUUCUGGCAUCUCUUUCUGCAAAGGCAUCUGAAUGUGUCUGCGUCCCUGUUAGCAUAAUGUGAGGAGGUGGAGAGACAGCCCACCCCCGUGUCCACCGUGAGCCCUGUUCCCAUGUUGACCUGUGUUUCCUCCCCAGUCAUCUUUCCUGUUCCAGAGAGGUGGGGCUGGAUGUCUCCAUCUCAGUCUCAACUUUAUGUGCACUGAGCUGCAACUUCUUACUUCCCUACUGAAAAUAAGAAUCUGAAUAUAAAUUUGUUUUCUCAAAUAUCUGUUAUGAGAGGUUGAUGGAUUAAUUAAAUAAGUCAAUUCCUAGAAUUUGAGAGAGCAAAUAAAGACCUGAGAACCUUCCAGAAUC